rnacentral:sRNA from 1 species
AGAUAGUUGAUGUCACUUGGCGAUAUUCCUGCAAACAUGAAGAGGUGAUUGCCAGAAGAACUAAGGUUAAAGAAGCGUUACUUCGAGACACUAUUAAUGGACUUAAUAAGCAGAGAAAAGAAACCUCGUUUAUUCCCUGUGAAAAUGAGAAGAUUUCUAAACAGCUCCACCUUUGUUACAAUAUUGUGAAAGAUCGUUAUGUUCGAGUUUCAAAUAACAAUCAAACCAUUUCUGGAUGGGAGAAUGGUGUGUGGAAAAUGGAAUCUAUAUUCAGAAAAGUUGAAACAGACUGGCACAUGGUAUAUUUGGCCCGAAAGGAAGGAUCAUCUUUUGCUUACAUUUCCUGGAAGUUUGAGUGUGGAUAACAGUCUUCACUCCUAUGCUGAUUUUUCUGGUGCCACUGAAGUUAUUUUGGAAGCAGAAUUAAGCAGAGGAGAUGGUGAUGUCGCUUGGCAACACACCCAGCUGUUUAGACAAAGCUUAAAUGACCAUGAAGAAAAUUGUUUGGAGAUAAUUAUAAAAUUCAGUGACCUUUGAGAACCUGAACAUUAUAGAAAAGCUGGCAAUAAUCAAGGACUUACUCAAGUAGUCUGUUGGUUCAGUGCAUGCUUAGUUGGCAGUUACCACCCUGUGCUAGCAUAUUUCUUUUGCUAGCUAUCCAUCAUGUAACCCUCAUGAAAAUUAUCUUUAUACGUGGACUAUAAUAAAAUAUUGAAUUAAAA